CAUGUGAAAGUGUAACGCAUACCGCCUUUUCCUGCGUAGUACGGCCGGUGCCAAAUGCUGAGGCGGCAACACGACCCGGCAAUAAGGACGUCGGCUUCUCGGCGGGAUAGGCAACGGAGAUUCGGCCUUUCCUGCGCUCUACUCUCUUCUGGACACUCCAGUAGCAGUGGUAAUAUAUGGACCGAUCCAUGUUCUGCAGAAAAGAAGUUAAUGACCCAACUGCAAGCUUCUUUAGACUGCGUGCACAAUGACUGAAUGAGCUGGACCCACUGGCUGAUCACUCCCUCUUCUUUGUCUUUUGUACGCAGGUCAUGCCGUGAGGCGUCAAACAAACUGCUCGAUCUGUGGCGUGCGGCUGUACGCUGCAGCAGUGCGCUAAAGCACUACGAGCCGGUGAUUCGGCUUGAUGUACCACGCUCCCAUACUCAAAGUCAGUGUAAUGCCAUUGAUCGCUAGAGCGUAGAGUUUUUUUGUUUUUUUUUAACCGUCAUCAAGGGGUUAAUGUAAUAAAAAAUCAAAAAAUCCCAGGAAGUUGAAUUCCUUUUAGUUUUUUCAAAUACAUCAAGAAAAGUUGAAUUCUUGUCUAAGUUUACAAGAAGUCCUUGUAACAUAUAUCCUUGACAUAAAUCCUAUUACUCUAAAGAUUAAAAAAUGUGUUAGU